UAACCUGUCAAUAUCUUCGUAGUCACUUAGCUCUGGGUCCUAUGGUCCUUUAGCCACCCGCUCCUCCAUGAUUGGAGCCCUAAUGAGGUCGGCAGCUGGUGGCGACAUGGCAGGCAUGCCCCGCGUGGCGCGCUGGUGGGAUGGCAGACGCAAGCAGUCCCCAGAGCAGCCCUCGAAGGAAGUCAUCUCCUUCAGACACAUAAGGACAUCGAGGCUCAGAGAGGCCUAAGUAACUGGUUCACAGUUGCCCAGCUGAUGUUGCUUCGGAAAAAGACAAGUUUUGGUCAGGACAAAAGCUACUGAAUGGCUGCAAAUGAGAAGAAGCCUUUCUUGCCUGGCUCACCCACUCCUGUCUCCCAGCAAGGACUCUGUUUUCUUGUCUGAUCCCUUCCCUAGCUAUAUUUGAAGAUUCCUGCCCACACAGACAUCCAGAAUCUGACCAAGCUCUGCUGCCUGUCCCCAUAUUGUUUGUCCUUCACCCAAACUGCCACUUGUUGUAGUGUCCAUGUGCCAGGAUCUAGACACACAAAGGCUGGAAGAAAAGACUGCGUACUUGGGGACUGGCCAGGCUGGCCAGAAGGAUGCUAAGGACCACAGAGAGGCAAGCCCAGGACAUCCUGGAGACAGAGAAGAGGAGCAUGUUGGGGUCUCUCUGAAAAACUCCUUUAAACAAGGCUUUAUUAAGAAGAUGGGCAUACAGCCAGGCUUUGGUGGUACACACCACCACUUAGGAGGCAAAAACAGGCAGAUUUCUAUGAGUUCAAUGCCAGCCUGGUCUACAGAAUAAGUUCCAGGACAGCUAGGGCUGUUAUACAGAGAAACCCUGUCUCAAAAAAGAAGAAGAAGAUGGAGGAGGAAAAAGAGGAGGAAGAGGAAGAAGAAUAUAAAGAAGAAGCAGGCAUGGAACUGGGUCCCUAGAUUGGUGGAAAAGAGAGGGAAAGUGACUUGGGUAAAUGGGGACAACCUGUCCAAAGGGACUGAGGCAUGUACAGACAAGCACAGAGGGAAUUCUGCCACAGUGCAAAAACGUUAAGUGUCAGGGCAGGGUACCAGGGCCCUGUGUGUGAGAGGUUGAGCUGGACAGUUAGUGGCACCUAACCCAACCCACCCUCAAAGGUGAGUGGAUUAGAGGGAUCAAAACAUAGUUGGCUCCUCUAACAAAUUAGCACUUCUCUUCUCAAGUGUCCAUUUCCAUCAUCGUCCCUGGAAGCCUGAAGUUGCAUCGUCACCACUAAUUCUGUGCUAAAUCCUAGUAGCUACACAGUGGGGAGUUGACAUUACAAGGCAGUGGGCAAGGAAGUCUGUGACUCAGAAAGUUCUAAGAAAGAUGCUGGGUCAGUCUCCAGGAGACAGGAAUGCAGGCUCAGAAUCUUUGUCCCCAGCUGAGCAGGUGCAGUCACUUAUGUCCCCUCAGCAUGUACCAUUCCAGAAAAUAAAACAUCCAAACUGA